rnacentral:rRNA from 1 species
CCGCGGUAUUUUAACCGUGCAAAGGUAGCGUAAUCACUUUGUUUUUUAAAUGAAGACCUGUAUGAAAGGCAUAACGAGGGCUUAACUGUCUCCUUUCCCCAGUCAAUUAAAUUGAUCUCCCCGUGCAGAAGCGGGGAUAUAGCCAUAAGACGAGAAGACCCUAUGGAGCUUUAAACAUAUCAGGUUUACGUCACUGCCCCUCAGUUAAAAGAGUGAACUAAGUAUACACCUAGAAAAUGUUUUUGGUUGGGGCGACCGCGGGGGAAUAAAUAGCCCCCAUGAUGAGAGAGAAUAUAUCUCUUUAAACUAAGACUGCCAAGUCAAAGUCACAGAAACUCUGACAAAUGAUCCAGCUUGCUGAUCAACGAAAUGAGUUACCCUAGGGAUAACAGCGCAAUCCCCUUUAAGAGUCCUUAUCGACAAGGGGGUUUACGACCUCGAUGUUGGAUCAGGACAUCCUAAUGGUGCAACCGCUAUUAAGGGUUCGUUUGUUCAACG